rnacentral:lncRNA from 1 species
CUUUUUGGUACAACUUGAGCAGCAAACUAAGGGAGAGCCAACAGAAUUUGAAGAUCCAAAUCUACUUCCUUUGCUUGCUGAAUUUUCAAAUAUAUUUGACGAACCGCGCAACCUACCUCUUACCUGUCGGCAUGAUCAUUGUAUAAUGAUUCUUCCAGGCAAAUCUUCAGCAAAUGCUCAGCCAUAUCAGUAUCCACAUCUCCAGAAGGAUGAAAUAGAAAGGAUUAUAAAAGAGAUACUCGAAACAGGAGUUAUUCGGCCAUGUUGCAACCUCUACUCUUCGCCGGUGCUACUUGUACGCAAGAAGGACGGAACAAGGCGAAUAUGUGUUGAUUACCGAGCUCUCAAUGGCAUAAUCAUCAAGGACAAAUACUUUAUUCCAAUAGUAGAUGAAUUGCUAGAUGAAAGAGAGCACAAAUCUUUACAAAGCUGGACCUUUGAUCCGGGUAUCAUCAAAUACGAGCAUGCGAAGAAGACAUAUGGAAAACCACCUUUUGAACACACAACAACCACGAAUUUUUGCUUUCUUCAACAAAAGGUGGAAUAUCUUGGGCAUAUCAUAUCAGAGGAAGGUGUGGCAGUAGACCCCUUCAAAAUUGGAGCAAUGCAAAACUGGCCGACCUCGAGAAACAUAAAAUUGCUACAUGACUUUCUGGGUUUAACAUGCUACUACCGCAAGUUCGUGAAAAACUAUGGAAAGAUCAGUGCACCACUUACUUCCUUACUAGAAAAAGAUGUCUUCCAAUGGUUGGACAGAGCCUCCACUGCCUUCGAUAAACUUAAGGCAGCCAUGACGACGACGCCGGUGCUAACACUACCAGAUUUCAACCGACCCUUCAUUAUUGAGGCUGACACAUCUGGAGUCAGAAUUGGAGCCAUUCUCAUACAAGAUGGUCGACCACUCGCAUACACUAGCAAGGCAUUAUCUCUCUCCUAUCAAAAUAUGUCAACAUAUGAUAAGGAGAUGCUCGCCAUUGUGCGCGCAGCAACGAGGUGGAGAUUGUACUUGAUCAAGCGAUACUUUCAAAUCAAGACCGACCAUAAAAGCCUAAAAUAUCUCUUGGAGCAGAAGAUAUCUUCCCCCGAGCAGCAAAUAUGGCUACCCGAGCAAGUUGAAGUUUUGGCUGUUUCACUUCCGACCAGCGACUUCCUUGAGGAUAUUAAGAUGGAAUGGCAGGAAGAUUCGGAGACCAGUAAGAUACAAAAAAAAUUAGAGGAAGCACCAAGCUCCGUGACUCAUUACAAUCGGGACUCAAAAGAAUUAUGCUAUAAGGGACGCAUUGUGCUUGUGACAAAUUCUACUUGCAUCUUCAAGAGCAGAUUUUGGACAAAGUUAUUCCAUAUGUAGGGUA